UAAGGCCAAUGCUUUUCUAAGUACAACUUCCCGCUCUGGCAAGAGAAUGGCAGUGUAUUACUCUCUGUAUUUGGAUUACUAUCAUGCUUUCCACCUACUUACACUUCACUUGCAAUUUAGGAUAAGUAGAGUCAUCAUCUUCAUUUUAUGCCCCAAGCCUUUGUCUAAUACAGCUGUGUGGUGUUAACAGCUGCUGGUUUUUAUCAUAGAAGUGGCUGCAUUUUAGGAAUAGGCAAUGAGAUUUUUGCUUUCCAGCUCGUUCAACUGGCUUAUGAAGCAUUCUGUAGAUCCAGGUCUGUUAUGUAUUAAGAUGCACUGGAAUGAAAGAAGGGCCUGAUCCUGCAUCCUGAGGAACUCACGGUAUUGGAGGUGCAGGGGAAGGAUGGGAACAUCUGUGCUCUCUGCACUGAGGGACCACAGGUCCAUGAAGAUGCUUUGAAUUUAUGCUAGAUGGUUUCUUUUGAGAAAUUGCCCAUAGCUGAUGCAGAAAAUACUCUUUGUCUGCAGUAUAUAAGAGAAUGCAGGCAAUUUAUCAGGGUGAGACUCCCUGUGUAGUUCAUAUACUCUGUACAAAAACUAGAGUCCAGCCUUGCUGACAGAGUCUGGCAAGGAGAUUUCCAUGAAGUGAAGGUGGUAUGCUCUUCACUGCUGGACUCAGCUGUGUAGGGUGGCUAUAAAACACUGCAAACUGUUCAAAUUUCCUUAUAUUAGGAAUGUGGAUUGUGAAAAUGUACAGAAGAGUUAUGAGAAUGUACGGCUGAGUUAUUUCUGCUCCUCACUUCUCUGUCAUAUAGCUGAGCCUGCAAGCUCCAGCAUCUCAGCUGCCAGGAGAACUGUUGUUAUCACCACAGCAGGGCAUUUCGGGGGCUGGUGUUAAUACCCUGAAGUGACUGGUGCUCACUAACAAUUACAGUGAAAAAUACAAUAAUACUCUUGAAUUACCUCACAUUUGUUCAAAUGCAUGUGCGUAGAGGGGAAGGAAAUUUGGGAUGAUGAUUGGCAUUUAGCCUCCCAUACUCAUAUGCAGAAAAAUUAAUGUGGUGUUCAGUUCACCCCCCCUCACACACACAGCCCUGUGUCACCAUAAAAGUAAGCCUCCAGCGAUAUGAAAUAGUCACAGUAUUGUAGUUGCACAGUUUUUCCUCUCAAAAAGCCUUGUGGCAGCCAGGCCUGGCCUUUGAAUUGAACGGGUUAUUCUGGCAACAGAGCUAACUGAAUUAAUUCAGUGUAAAUGGGGCUGGAAUAUUCCAGGGUGUGUAAAUAAAACUACACUGCUAUUUAGAAAAGUUGCAUUAUUCCAAGUGCUCUCUUGGAAGGGAAAAACAUUCCUCCAACAGACAUCCUGAAUACUGAACUUAGCUUGACUGACUCAAAAAAAGUAUAGUAAGUUUUAUGGUCUCAGCCUGUAUGCAUUUUUAGACUUAGAAAUUCUGACUGAAGUCAGUAGAAGACCUUUGAUUCAUUAGUAAUGCAGGAUCAGAUCCUCUCAUAGGUGAAAGACAUAACAAAGGCUAAGGAAACGGCAACUUCCCCUUUCUUCAUCAUGCCACAUGGUGACUUUUUUCUGUGAUCAGACACAAGUGCAAUGAUUGAGAAAGAAAGGUCUUAACACUUAUAAGAAAGGCUGAAAAUAGAAGAUAUUCUAAUGACAGCUAGAAGAAGGGAAUAAUGUUGAUAUAAUUGGAGUAGACAAAGGAUGUUCACUUUGUGACACAUUCUGAGAAACAUCCAGGAGCAUUUGUUAUGCCAAAGCAGGUUCAUGGUUCAGUGAAAAUGCCAUCUUCCGUUGGGGAAGUAAGCAGAAGAGGCAGCACUCCCCGAGCAGACAAGGGAACAAAAAUAGUUCAGGGUUCCAGAGCAGAUGAUUGUGUACAAGUGUAGAUGUAUUAUUGUGAUAAUAAUGCUAUGCUAAGUGUUCGUGGCAUACCAUUUUCCUUUAGUGGCUGAUUCACUGAGGAAUCAUUAAAUACUAAUGCUAUUUUGUAAUAUAGGGAUGUUUCAAAAUCACUUGAAGACAGCAGUGUUAGGAUGUCCUACCUCCUCCUCAUGUCGUUGGUACUUAGGAACCAGAGCAUACUUGUAUGUUUAUUUCUGUAUUUAAAAUACAUGAUAAGAAAGCA